CAAUAUUACACAAGAAAACCACAUUUUCUCUUGUUUGUUACCAAAAUAUCUAGAGAAGCCAUAUCCACCUGCCUUUUUGUGGCUAACAGGGGUCUGAGCCCAUAAACUGACUGAGGAACAAAUCUUGUCCGUCGGGGGAGAAAACCAGUCAGCUGGGGGUUAAGUGGAUGGGAGGGUGGAGACGCCUCAGGAAAAACCUGCCAGAGCUGUAAAGGGUCAGAGCUUCAAACGGGAGUGAAAAAGCAGGGGGAAGUUAGAACUGAGCUCUCUUGCUUUCAAAUUCAAAAAUUUUCAGAUUUGCUUCAAACGUAUACUUAAGAACUCUAGGGGCCAGCCCUGUGGCCCGGUGGCCGAGUGGUUAAGUUCACACGCUCCGCUUAGAUGGCCCACGGUUUUGCCAGUUUGGAUCCUGGGCACGGACCUAGCACCACUCGUCAGGCCAUGCUGAGGUGGCGUCCCACAUAGCACAACUAGAAGGACCUACAACGAAGAUAUACAACUACAUACUAGGGGGCUUUGGGGAGAAAAAGAAGAAGAAAAAAAGAGAUUGGCAACAGAUGUUAGCUCAUGGCCAAUCUUAAAAAAAAACACCUCUAAUCCGUAAAAAUCUCCAUCCUUGAACUGGAAGGAGAACACGUGCAUGGAAGCGCAUGAAAGCUCUGAAGAGACGCUACCAAACUGACAGGAGAGUUAUCUGCUGGGAAGCCGGAGCAGGCCAGGUGUUCAAGCAAGAGCAGAUCUGCCCCUUGCCCUCACCUGCAGGCAGCGAGACGCCAGCGAAGGGCUGGUUGUGCAGGAGGAAGGGAGCGUUGGCCAUAAGACGGGGGCCCAAGGAAUGGAGAGGAGCCGAGUGGUAAAGGGACAGCCCAGCACCCAGGAAUAGAACAGGACACUGGAUCCCUCUUUCUCCUGGAUCAUCUUCUCUCCUGGAUCACCUUCUCUCCUGGAUCACCCUCUCUCCUGGAUCGCCCUCUGUCCUGGAUCACCCUCUCUCCUGGAUCAUCUUCUCUCCUGGAUCACCCACUCUCCUGGAUCACCCUCUCUCCUGGAUCACCUUCUCUCCUGGAUCACCUUCUCUCCUGGAUCACCCUCUCUCCUGGAUCGCCCUCUCUCCUGGAUCACCCUCUCUCCUGGAUCAUCUUCUCUCCUGGAUCACCCACUCUCCUGGAUCACCCUCUCUCCUGGAUCAUCUUCUCUCCUGGAUCACCCUCUCUCCUGGAUCACUCUCUCUCCUGGAUCACCCUCUCUCCUGAAUUACCCUCUCUCCUGGAUCACCCUCUCUCCUGGAU
rnacentral:lncRNA from 1 species